GCUGGCGGCAGGCCUAACACAUGCAAGGCGANCGGUAACAUUUCUAGCUUGCUAGAAGAUGACGAGCGGCGACGGGUGAGUAACGCGUAGAAAUCUACCUAGUAGUGGGGGAUAGCCCAGAGAAAUUUGGAUUAAUACCGCAUACGCCCUACGGGGGAAAGCGGGGGAUCUUCGGACCUCGUGCUAUUAGAUGAGUCUGCGUCGGAUUAGCUUGUUGGUGAGGUAAUGGCUCACCAAGGCGACGAUCCGUAGCUGGUCUGAGAGGACGACCAGCCACACUGGAACUGAGACACGGUCCAGACUCCUACGGGAGGCAGCAGUGGGGAAUAUUGCACAAUGGGCGCAAGCCUGAUGCAGCCAUGCCGCGUGUGUGAAGAAGGCCUUAGGGUUGUAAAGCAUUUUCAGCAGUGAGGAAAGGGGUGUCGUUAAUAGCGCCAUCCUGUGACGUUAACUGCAGAAGAAGGACCGGCUAACUCCGUG
rnacentral:rRNA from 1 species